rnacentral:pre_miRNA from 1 species
CACGCUGAGGUAGUAGGUUGUAUAGUAUUUACAAUUAAAAUUUACUAUACAAUCUGCUAACUUUCCGUG